ACUGCUCAGUAACACGUGGACAACUUACCCAAGAGUCCGGGAUAACCCCGGGAAACUGGGGAUAAUACCGGAUAGAUCAUCUGUGCUGGAAGGCUGGGUGGUUGAAACUUCCGGGGCUUUUGGAUGGGUCUGCGGCUGAUUAGGUUGUUGCCGGUGUAACGUACCGUCAAGCCUGUAAUCAGUACGGGUUGUGGGAGCAAGAGCCCGGAGAUGGAUUCUGAGACACGAAUCCAGGCCCUACGGGGCGCAGCAGGCGCGAAAACUCUACAAUGCAGGCAACUGCGAUAGGGGAACAUCGAGUGAUCCUCAUAUUGGGGGUCUGUCCACCCGUCUAAAAAACGGGUGUUAGCAAGGGCCGGGCAAGACCGGUGCCAGCCGCCGCGGUAAUACCGGCGGCUCGAGUGGUGGCCGAUAUUAUUGAGUCUAAAGGGUCCGUAGCCGGCUUUGCAAGUCUCUCGGGAAAUCCAGCGGCUUAACCGUUGGUCGUCCGGGGGGUACUACAUUGCUUGGGACUGGGAGAGGUAGGAGGUACUCAGGGGGUAGGAGUGAAAUCCUGUAAUCCUUUGGGGACCACCGGUGGCGAAGGCGUCCUACCAGAACAGGUCCGACGGUGAGGGACGAAAGCUAGGGGCACGAACCGGAUUAGAUACCCGGGUAGUCCUAGCCGUAAACGAUGCUCGCUAGGUGUCACAACAGUCGUGAAUUGUUGUGGUGCCGUAGGGAAGCCGUGAAGCGAGCCACUUGGGAAGUACGACCGCAAGGUUGAAACUUAAAGGAAUUGGCGGGGGAGCAC
rnacentral:rRNA from 1 species